rnacentral:tRNA from 1 species
GAGGGUAUAGCUCAGUGGUAGGGUGCAUGCUUAGCAUGCAUGAGGUUCUGGGCUCAAUCCCCAGUACCUCUG